GACGAACGCUGGCGGCGUGCUUAACACAUGCAAGUCGAACGGUGAUCUUGAGAGCUUUGCUCUUGGGUGAUCAGUGGCGAACGGGUGAGUAACACGUGAGUAACCUGCCCCUGACUCUGGAAUAACUUCGGGAAACCGAAGCUAAUACCGGAUAUGACACAGAAUCGCAUGGUUUCUGUGUGGAAAGUUUUUCGGUUGGGGAUGGACUCGCGGCCUAUCAGCUUGUUGGUGAGGUAAUGGCUCACCAAGGCGACGACGGGUAGCCGGCCUGAGAGGGCGACCGGCCACACUGGGACUGAGACACGGCCCAGACUCCGACGGGAGGCAGCAGUGGGGAAUAUUGCACAAUGGGCGAAAGCCUGAUGCAGCGACGCCGCGUGAGGGAUGAAGGCCUUCGGGUUGUAAACCUCUUUCAGUAGGGAAGAAGCGCAAGUGACGGUACCUACAGAAGAAGCACCGGCUAACUACGUGCCAGCAGCCGCAGUAAGAC
rnacentral:rRNA from 1 species